GACGAACGCUGGCGGCGUGCUUAACACAUGCAAGUCGAACGGAAAGGCCCUGCUUUUGUGGGGUGCUCGAGUGGCGAACGGGUGAGUAACACGUGAGUAACCUGCCCUUGACUUUGGGAUAACUUCAGGAAAUUGGGGCUAAUACCGGAUAGGAGCUCCUGCUGCAUGGUGGGGGUUGGAAAGUUUCGGCGGUUGGGGAUGGACUCGCGGCUUAUCAGCUUGUUGGUGGGGUAGUGGCUUACCAAGGCUUUGACGGGUAGCCGGCCUGAGAGGGUGACCGGCCACAUUGGGACUGAGAUACGGCCCAGACUCCUACGGGAGGCAGCAGUGGGGAAUAUUGCACAAUGGGCGGAAGCCUGAUGCAGCAACGCCGCGUGCGGGAUGACGGCCUUCGGGCUGUAAACCGCUUUCGCCUGUGACGAAGCGUGAGUGACGGUAAUGGGUAAAGAAGCACCGGCUAACUACGUG
rnacentral:rRNA from 1 species